AAUGAACGCUGGCGGCAUGCCUAACACAUGCAAGUCGAACGAAAACACAGGGAGCUUUUGCUCUUGCGGGUGGCGGGGGACGGACGAGUAACUUGUGCAUGGCAUACCUCUAUGACUGGGGUGAUAACGGAGGACAAGGUAUACUAACACAUCAUAUAUCGUACUUGAUGGGGCAAUCGUUAAAUUCGCUUUUUGCUAUAGUAAAAGCCGAUUUCGGAUUCGCUAGUUGGUUGGGUAAAGGGGUACCAAGGCAACGAUACGUAGCAGGUCUGAGAGGAUGAUCAGCCACACUGGAACUGAGACACGGUCCAGACUCCUACGGGAGGCAGCAGUCGGGAAUCUUGCGCAAUGGGCGAAAGCCUGAUAGAGCAACACCGCGUGAGUGAUGAAGGACUUCGGGUCGUAAAGCUCUGUUGUUCGGAAAGAAAAAAAGCAGAUUUACCCAUGGACGUCAUGACGGUACCUAAAGAAUAAGCCCCGGCUAACUCCGUG
rnacentral:rRNA from 1 species